rnacentral:rRNA from 1 species
UACGAAGGGGGCUAGCGUUGUUCGGAAUUACUGGGCGUAAAGCGCACGUAGGCGGAUAUUUAAGUCAGGGGUGAAAUCCCAGAGCUCAACUCUGGAACUGCCUUUGAUACUGGGUAUCUUGAGUAUGGAAGAGGUAAGUGGAAUUCCGAGUGUAGAGGUGAAAUUCGUAGAUAUUCGGAAGAACACCAGUGGCGAAGGCGACUUACUGGACACAUAUUGACGCUGAGGUGCGAAAGCGUGGGGAGCAAACAGG